rnacentral:rRNA from 1 species
CAAUAGCGUAUAUUAAAGUUGUUGCGGUAAAAAAGCUCGUAGUUGGAUUUCUACCGAAGAUAGCCGGUCGGGUCUUCGACCUUGUAUCUGGUUUUGUCUUUGGUAUCCUCAUAGGGAACGUUUCUGCGCUUUAUUGCGUGGUGCGGUAUCUAUGACUUUUACUUUGAGGAAAUUAGAGUGUUCACGGCAGGCAAACGCCUUGAAUAUAUUAGCAUGGAAUAAUAACAUAGGAUCUUCGUCCUAUUUUGUUGGUUUCUAGGGCUAAGAUAAUGAUUAAUAGGGAUAAUUGGGGGCAUCUGUAUUUCGGUGCUAGAGGUGAAAUUCUUAGAUUACCGAAAGACAAACUGCUGCGAAAGCGUCUGCCAAGGAUGUUUUCAUUGA